rnacentral:tRNA from 1 species
GCGAGAGUGGCGGAAUUGGUAGACGCGCUGGAUUUAGGAUCCAGUUCCUUCGGGAGUGGGGGUUCGAGUCCCCCCUUUCGCA